GCCCCAGUUGGUUUCUAAAUACGACCUGUCCAGAAAAGGAAAUGCCCAAAGUCUGAAACCGCCUCAUGGAAACCCGCAGAGCCAGGAUCCAAGAGGGACUUAAACCUCCAUAGGGGGCGGAAAAGCCGUAAGCUCAGGGGAUGCACCAGAGCUCCAAAUCUGGACAUGCAGAUUAGUCCACAGUCCUUUUGUUGGAUGUGUAAAAAGUGUUCAAAGGAAAUGAGAGAAUGCCCAAGAGGAAAGAAGAGUUAGUAGGGUGCCUCUCUUAUGAGCUGUAGGAUCUUAAGUGAAUCCUUUUCCUAACAGUCUCACUUGGAUCAACUGUAAAAUUCUGGAUAAUACCUACAUCAAAGGGACAUUUAUAAAUGACAUCGUACAUGUCAGAGCACAGUGCCUGACUCAUAAUAAGCACUCACCUGCACCUUGAAGAUGUGAUCUAGAAUGUGCAAAAUUGCCUAUAAAAAGGAUGGAGUGAUCUGAAUUGUGAGAUGGUAUUGAGGAACCCAGAUGAUGGAGCCUACAGCUGGACCAGUGCCCUUGUAAUCACUGUGCCAGGAAGAAAGGAACAUGGUAGACCAUGGCCUGACUCCUAGAACUAACCAGAAAUGAUCAAAACCAGGUGCGCUCACAUUCAUUGACCAAAGCAACUCAGAUGGUCUCUGCUAACCUCAAAUGGAAAGGGAAGUACAGUCAUCACAAUGUGGUUAAAAGAGAGAAAGCGAACUGGCACACGUGAGCAGGAGGAGACUCAAGCAGACCCCCGCCCUGAUCAUGGACCCUGAUGCUGCGCUCAAUCCCAACAAGCCCUAAGAUCAUGACCCAAGCCAAAGCCAAGAGUUGGACGCACAACUGACUGGGCCACCCAGAUGCCGCUGAUGAAAUAACUUAAAAAAUUCCAUAUAUGAACACAAAUUUCAUGUGAGGAAAUAGGUGUAAAAAUACCAUCACUGGCCUUCAAGGGUGUCUUAAUUUUUACGGUCAUUCCCAUGCCUUCUCCUAAUGAGAGCAAUUAUUCCACUUAUGCAAGAAGUUGAGCUUCCAAAUCUGCCAAGCUGCAUCCCUAUCCCACAUCUCAAAGAGAAAACAAAAGAAAACAAAACCAACAAAAAGGCUCCCUAAGGAAUACUACACAAAUCAGAAAAGAUAGGUAUCACCCAAUGGCUAUUUCAGAAGACUAUCAGUAUUUCACCUUAUCCAUCUACUAACCAGGAAUAAAACCAAGAACUGGAUCACAGAGGUUGGAGCUCUAACAGUAAGAUUCCAUUUUUCUUCUAUAAUUGACCCAUAAAGUUGUAUGGUUUCUUUACUUGAGCCAGAUUAUAGUUAUGGGCAAAAUGAUGGAAUAUUUGAUUUUGGAAUGAAAUCUGGAACACUAACUUAUCUGCCAAACCAAACAUGAAAAGCACUUCUUUUCCAAUAGGUAAGAACCAGAAAGAAGACAGUUAAGCCACUUAUGGGAUUGAUAUUUUGCAUUAACGUAUUGUCAUCUCAAACACGCACCGGAUGACUUGAUCAUAUUAAAUUUACAAAGAAGUUGAUAAUUCAGGAAAACAAUGUAUUAUUGUGGUUUUUGUUUUAUGGAGAUAUUUUCCCAGUAUUCUAUUAGGCUAGGAAUCAAAAAUAUUUCUGUUUUGUGUGUGUUUAUGUGUCUGUGUAUGUUGGUGGGGACGAUAGUCUAUGAGAGGGCAUACAUGGAUACAUGUAAAGCUUUUGAAACUGGUCAUUUAGACAUUAGAAUUUAUGGCUAUAAGAGAUGUGAACAUCUUCAAAUUUAAGGACAGUAUCUAGUUCAUCUUUGCUUUUUGCAUCUCAAAUACUAAAUGGUAAAUUAUAUCUGUCAGACUUGAAAGCAAGUCAGAUUUAGAUAUGAGGUAAGUGAGAAUAAGCUAGGUUUUAUCACGUAAAAAUAGUCUUCAUCUGAGAUUGAGAUUAUUCUUUAAUCUAGGCUAAUAGUGAUUAGUACAUUAAUUUUUAACCUAAAAUUCCUAGUAGAUUGUUUAAAUUCUCAUGUACAUAAUCUUUAAUGUUAAAUAAUAUUUAACUAUAUUACCAAAGCCAGAAGCAAUGGAUAUUCCUUACCACUAUUUUUCAUAUAUGUCAUUAAGUAAAGAAGAAUAAAGAAAGCUGGAUUGAAUAGAAUUAUUAUAGGAAAUUAAGCUUAUGAAGAUGUCAUUAAUGUCCUAAACCCAACAAAUUUGUAAUGCAGAUUUUCAGAAUGAUUAGGCAAUUCCUACCAAAUUUUAAUAGUUCUAUAGGGUAUAUGUAGCCCACUAAUUUGAGUUCUGUUAAGGAAUACUUUUCUACUGAUCAAAACCACAAUUUGUCACAAAUACUUGGAUUCUUCCAGUUCUAAGGGAAAAAGACAGAGAGAGAGAAAGAGAAAAAAAUGAAAAAAAUAAACUCCAUUUUAAAUAUUAGAAGAGUUUUAUAAUUUAGAUAAAAAAUACUUUUCAAACCAGAGAACUACCAGUUGACAAAAACUCUAGGGUUAUUGGGGAUUCUGGGAAAAUGGCAGAGUAGAAAGCACUAGGAAUCUCUCUCCCCACCUAGAUAACAAUAGCACUGGCAAAAUUUUCUGAUAUAACUAUUUUAGAACUCUGGAGUCUACUGAAGGCUUGCAACUUCCAGAGGGAGGGUUGGACAGAAAAUUGCAGCUAAUUUCCACCAAUUUCAGGUCUUAUCACAGUAGCAAUUACCUGUAUUCCACUCUCCAGCCUCACGGCCGGCAACCUACACAUGUGUUCCUGGAGCAGCUUUCAGGAGCCAGGGUGGGGAAAAAUAACUGUGUCCUUCAAAUAUUGUAAAUCAGUGCUCCAAUCACUGAAUGCUACAUUUAAUCUCAGAGGUGCAGAUAAAAUGGUGGAUGGCCAUUGUUUUCACACUCCCUCCAUUGCUGCAACCCUUUCCUCCCUCCAGCAGAAGUGACUUCCAAGGGAUUUUAAGGACUGGUACCCUUUCUCCUCCCCUUCCAUUAUUUUUGUUUCCAAAUUUUGAAGCCAGA